rnacentral:rRNA from 1 species
AAAUUGAAGAGUUUGAUCAUGGCUCAGAUUGAACGCUGGCGGCAGGCCUAACACAUGCAAGUCGAACGGUAACAGGAAUCAGCUUGCUGUUUCGCUGACGAGUGGCGGACGGGUGAGUAAUGUCUGGGAAACUGCCUGAUGGAGGGGGAUAACUACUGGAAACGGUAGCUAAUACCGCAUAACGUCGCAAGACCAAAGAGGGGGACCUUCGGGCCUCUUGCCAUCGGAUGUGCCCAGAUGGGAUUAGCUUGUUGGUGGGGUA